AAAUUGACGGGGACCCGCACAAGCGGUGGAUGAUGUGGAUUAAUUCGAUGCAACGCGAAGAACCUUACCUACCCUUGACAUGUCCGGAACUUGCCAGAGAUGGCUUGGUGCCCGAAAGGGAAUCGGAACACAGGUGCUGCAUGGCUGUCGUCAGCUCGUGUCGUGAGAUGUUGGGUUAAGUCCCGCAACGAGCGCAACCCUUAUCAUUAGUUGCUACGCAAGGGCACUCUAAUGAGACUGCCGGUGACAAACCGGAGGAAGGUGGGGAUGACGUCAAGUCCUCAUGGCCCUUAUGGGUAGGGCUUCACACGUCAUACAAUGGUCGGUACAGAGGGUUGCCAAGCCGCGAGGCGGAGCCAAUCCCACAAAGCCGAUCGUAGUCCGGAUUGUUCUCUGCAACUCGAGAGCAUGAAGUCGGAAUCGCUCGUAAUCGCAGGUCAGCAUACUGCGGUGAAUACGUUCCCGGGUCUU
rnacentral:rRNA from 1 species